GACGAACGCUGGCGGCGUGCUUAACACAUGCAAGUCGAACGGUAAGGCCCUUCGGGGUACACGAGUGGCGAACGGGUGAGUAACACGUGGGUGAUCUGCCCUGCACUUCGGGAUAAGCCUGGGAAACUGGGUCUAAUACCGGAUAGGACUCCGGACUGCAUGGUCUGGGGUGGAAAGCUUUUGCGGGUUGGGAUGGGCCCGCGGCCUAUCAGCUUGUUGGUGGGGUGAUGGCCUACCAAGGCGACGACGGGUAGCCGGCCUGAGAGGGUGAACGGCCACAGUGGGACUGAGAUACGGCCCAGACUCCUACGGGAGGCAGCAGUGGGGAAUAUUGCACGAUGGGCGCAAGCCUGAUGCAGCGACGCCGCGUGAGGGAUGACGGCCUUCGGGUUGUAAACCUCUUUCAGCAUCGACGAAGCGAAAGUGACGGUAGGUGAAGAAGAAGGACCGGCCAACUACGUGCCAGCCGCCGCCGUAA
rnacentral:rRNA from 1 species